rnacentral:misc_RNA from 1 species
GUUAAGUUUAAUCUUCUCCUGAUUCUCCUUAAUUUUUUCUUUGAAAGAAUCCCACUCCAAAUGGUCCUAUGUAUACCUCUCUCGGUGUCAUAACUAAGGGAGCUAUUAUUGAGGUGAAUGUGAGUGAACUGGGUUUGGUCACACCAGCUGGGAAAGUAGUAUGGGGGAAGUAUGCUCAGGUGACCAAUAAUCCGGAGAAUGACGGCUGUAUAAAUGCUGUGCUGCUUGUCUAAUCGAAGCGAUGAUGGAAAAGAGAUUAAAAUUAGACUUUUGGAGCAGCAGAGGUAGCUUUAUUUUUGAAGCGGUAGUAGAGAUUUUUUUUUCUUCUUUUUCCCCUCCGGGUAUUAGUUCUCUUCGUUGACAUGUAAUCACAAAUGUAUUCUUAUUUAAAUAUAUAUUUUCCAUGCGGAUUUAGUCCCUGCAGGCUGCAAAGCGAUG